rnacentral:lncRNA from 10 species
GAGCCAAGAUGGCGUCACUGCACUCCAGCCUGGGUGACAGAGUGACAGACUCCAUCUCAAAAAUAAAAAUAAAAAUAAAAAAUAAAUAAAAUGCUGAUGCUGUCCGGGCAUGGUGGCUCAUGCCUAUAAUGCCAACACUUUAGGAGGCCAAGGCAGGAGGAUUGCUUGAGCUCAGGAGUUUGAGGUCAGUCUGGGCAAUAUAGUGAGACCCCAUCUCUACAAAAAUUUUAAAAAUUAGCUGGAUGUGGUGGCGUGCACCUGUGCUUCUAGAUACUCAGGAGGCUGAGGAAGGAGGAUAGCUUAAACCCAGAAGGUCAAGGUUCCAGUGGGCUCUGAUCACACCACUGCACUCCAGCCUGGAUGACAGAGCAAAACCCUGUCUCAAAUAAACAAACAAACACCCUACAGGAGGGAAGUGGCCUCAGGUUGGAGGCAGGCAAAGCUGCUGGGCCUGUGAUGGGACAAAAACCUGUGACUCAUCCAUGCUUCCUCCUUUCAGGGCAGAGCCCAGCAAUGGCUGGACCUGCUGAGAGCAGCUGAGGGUGUUCUGGCCACUGCUGGGGCCACUGCAUGUGGCCUGCUGACCACUGCCACCCCCUGGUGGUCUCUUAUGAAAAAGCAUCCUCACCCACCAGCGAGGUGGGGAUGAGGGGACAGGGAUGCUCCUCCCGUCACCCUUCCUCCCACCAUUCACCUUUCUCUCUUGUCUUCCCAGCUUCUUCACUCUCUUUCCCUCUCUUUUGCUUCUCCUCACUCUCCUCCCCUCUCUGCUUGUCUUAUUGUUCUGCUCCAUGAUAGAAAGAGCUUUGACCUUAGUUCACCGGGUUAAAACCUGGCUCUGGCAUCUACGAGCUACAUGACCAAUUGAGCCAAUUACUAAACCUCUCUGAGUCGGUGUCUUCAUCUGGAAAUGGGGAUAACUCUGGAUGGUAAAAUGACAUAAUCCACAUAAAACACCUUGCACAGAGCCUGGUCCAAUAGAUGUUUAUUAUUAUUAUUACUACUAUCAUGACUGGCACUUGACAGGGGCUCAACCAUUGGUUGUGGUAGUUUGCUCUCUUUAUUCUUCAUCCCAGUUUUAGCACUGGAAGUCCCAUG